GAAAACAUCACUACCCGACGGGCGGAUCCAUCGGACAUGCCAAGAAUGUUGAUCCUCGUCAAGGGCACCAGGCAUCUAUUUCUAUUAGGGAAUAAUAAUUAAAUAAAAGUGAUGAGCUCAGGAAGAGGAGGGUGAUGACGACUGAUGAGAGCUCCUUGAGGUCACGGCCAUAGGUGAGGCCGUCCCUGCUGCCAUGAAGGUAGUAAAGCCUAGCUAGCUCUAUUGUCCUUUUAGUGUUCAGCAAAUACUGCGCCCGCCCGCUCUGCUGUGCGUUUCAUCUGCAAGGGUCAUAGAUUGAGUUUAAACAUUUUGUACCUUCUACAACAAGAAUAUUUUAUAAUUAUUUUUUCCACUAAAGUGUUUGAGACAGGAAAAGGGAACAAUUUAUGUGGAUACUAC
rnacentral:lncRNA from 1 species